CUGAACUGUCGACAUGAGUUGUUGCUGGCCCUCAAACGGGGGCAUGUGCACGCUCUGUUUACACACCCACUCACACCUGUGCACCCUCUGUAGUUUCGUGGCGUGGGGGACUCUGUCCUCCCGCUGUGGCUCUACGCCUUUACAUACACACACAUUGAUAAAGUCUUAUGGAAUGUAUGCCGCGUUUAACGCAAUACAAUA
rnacentral:misc_RNA from 1 species